rnacentral:pre_miRNA from 1 species
CAUGUACUCCCUCCGUUCCAUAAUUCUUGUCGGAAUAUUACAUGUAUCUAGACGCCUUUUAGAAACAGAUGCAUCCAUUUUUGGACAAAUUUGAGACAAGAAUUAUGGAACGGAGUCAGUACCUA